UACGUAGGGGGCAAGCGUUGUCCGGAUUCAUUGGGCGUAAAGAGCGUGUAGGCGGCCAGGUAGGUCGGUUGUGAAAACUGGAGGCUCAACCUUCAGACGUCGACCGAAACCAUCUGGCUAGAGUCCGGGAGAGGAGAGUGGAAUUCCCGGUGUAGCGGUGAAAUGCGCAGAUAUCAGGAGGAACACCGGUGGCGAAGGCGGGUCUCUGGGCCGAUACUGACGCUGAGGAGCGAAAGCAUGGGUAGCGAACAGG
rnacentral:rRNA from 1 species